CCUACGGGCGGCUGCAGUGGGGAAUAUUGGACAAUGGGCGAAAGCCUGAUCCAGCCAUGCCGCGUGUGUGAAGAAGGCCUUCGGGUUGUAAAGCACUUUCAGUGGGGAAGAAAGCCUUGGGGCUAAUACCCUCGAGGAAGGACAUCACCCACAGAAGAAGCACCGGCUAACUCCGUGCCAGCAGCCGCGGUAAUACGGAGGGUGCGAGCGUUAAUCGGAAUUACUGGGCAUAAAGCGCGCGUAGGCGGUCUGAUAAGCCGGUUGUGAAAGCCCCGGGCUCAACCUGGGAACGGCAUCCGGAACUGUCAGGCUAGAGUGCAGGAGAGGAAGGUAGAAUUCCCGGUGUAGCGGUGAAAUGCGUAGAGAUCGGGAGGAAUACCAGUGGCGAAGGCGGCCUUCUGGACUGACACUGACGCUGAGGUGCGAAAGCGUGGGUAGCAAACAGGAUUAGAUACCCCAGUAGUC
rnacentral:rRNA from 1 species